GGGGAAUAUUGCACAAUGGGCGCAAGCCUGAUGCAGCGACGCCGCGUGAGGGAUGACGGCCUUCGGGUUGUAAACCUCUUUCGCUAGGGACGACGCGUCAGUGACGGUACCUGGAGAAGAAGCACCGGCCAACUCCGGGCCAGCAGCCGCGGUAAUACGUAGGGUGCGAGCGUUGUCCGGAAUUACUGGGCGUAAAGAGCUCGUAGGCGGUUUGUCGCGUCGUCUGUGAAAUUCUGCAACUCAAUUGCAGGCGUGCAGGCGAUACGGGCAGACUUGAGUACUACAGGGGAGACUGGAAUUCCUGGUGUAGCGGUGAAAUGCGCAGAUAUCAGGAGGAACACCGGUGGCGAAGGCGGGUCUCUGGGUAGUAACUGACGCUGAGGAGCGAAAGCGUGGGGAGCGAACA
rnacentral:rRNA from 1 species